UUGUCUUUUAAAUAAAGACCUGUAUGAACGGCUAAAUGAGGGUAAGCCUGUCUCAUAUAACUAAUCAGUGAAACUGAUCUUCCAGUACAAAAGCUGGAAUAAUCACAUAAGACGAGAAGACCCUGUGGAGCUUAAAACAACCACUAAACAAACAUUAAAUUGUCUUAGCACGCGUUUUCAGUUGGGGCGACUUCGGAAUAAAAACCAACUUCCGAGCACAGAGCCACAAUCUCUAACCGAGGCCAACAAGCCAAAGCACGAAAACCGACCCGGCCUUGCCGAUCAACGAACCAAGUUACCCCAGGGAUAACAGCGCAAUCUUCUUCGAGAGCCCCUAUCAACAAGAAGGUUUACGACCUCGAUGUUGGAUCAGGACACCCAAAUGGUGCAGCCGCUAUUAAAGGUUCGUUUGUUCAACGAUU
rnacentral:rRNA from 1 species